rnacentral:lncRNA from 1 species
UAUAUCUCUAUAUUUUUUAUAGAGAUAUAAAUAAUCUAUAAGAAAAUUAAUUAGAUAAUAAAUUGUCCUCGUCAUUCUAAUGACGAGGACAAUUUAUUGAAGCGUUCACCUGAUGAAUAGUAAAUAAACAUAGGAGUCAAAUCACUCAGUUAUUAUGUCAACAUUAGGCUUUCAAUUAUUUCUUCAAAUCUUAAUAAAUUGAUAAUUACUGAUAAAAUAACCUUCUAAUUGUUACAAAAGAAGUUUGGUAUUAGAGUUCAAUGCCUGCUUGUAUUGCAGCCAAUUGUACUUCAAGAACACCGGAUUUUUCUAGAUCCCUAGAGUAAAAAAAUAAGCUUUUGUCCAUAAGUAUUUUCAGAACUUUAUAAACCAAUCAUAUGUUUUGGCAUUCUUAUAUUCUAAAAAUCUAUUGCUUCUAAAACCGUCGCCGAGAUUGGAAACAAACCAAAUGUUCAAGGAUAUGUUUUAAGCACUUCAAGGACUCUGACAUCAUAAAGCACAAAGUUAAGUGUACUCUUGUUAGUUGUUGAUGGAGCAGUGCCCCCCAUUUUGAACUUUCCAAUGCACUUAAAAGUGGAGUCCCAUCGACGAAUCUUAAAGAGGACGACAGUACUAAAAAAUAUAAUUCUGAUGACAUGAUUGGAAUCAGGCUAACUGUAAAUAUAGUCAUUACUCAUACUUAUGUCCUACUUAGUACUAUGGAAUCCUUGGAUUUGGUGAAAAAAUAGAGCAAAAAAACAUCCUGAAAUCAAGAUAAUAGUUAUAUUUGAUAUUUGCCAUAUCUUAUUCAGUUUACGAAUCAAUAAUUUGAAAAAUAUCAAUCAUAGGUUGAAAGACUUAAUUUUAUUAUUAUUUAAUAUUUUGUAGAAUAAAUGAUACUUCAUU